AUUGAACGCUGGCGGCAGGCCUAACACAUGCAAGUCGAGCGGAGCGGCGGACGGGUGGGUAAGGCCUAGGAAUCUGCCUGGUAGUGGGGGAUAACGUCCGGAAACGGGCGCUAAUACAGCAUACUAUGAGAUGAGCCUAGGUCGGAUGAGCUAGUUGGUGGGGGAAAGGCCUACCAAGGCGACGGUCCGUAACUGGUCUGAGCGGAUGAUCAGUCACACUGGAACUGAGAAACGGUCCAGACUCCUACGGGAGGCAGCAGUGGGGAAUAUUGGACAAUGGGCGAAAGCCUGAACCAGCCAUGCCGCGUGUGUGAAGAAGGUCUUCGGAUUGUAAAGCACUUUAAGUUGGGAGGCGUUACCAACAGAAUAAGCACCGGCUAACUUCGUGCCAGCAGCCGCGGUAAUUC
rnacentral:rRNA from 1 species